rnacentral:lncRNA from 1 species
UUUUUUUUUUUUUUAACACUCUUUUAACUUAAAGCUACUAAACAGAUUUUUAUUUUAAUCUUUGGAACAAAAAAUGUUCUCUUGGGCUGAUACCAGUACUUUCUAUGCCAAGUUACAGACCGGAAUCUAUUUUUAUAGGCCAAGAUACAAACCUCUGAAAACCAGAGUUUAUAAUGGAAACAUUGACAGGCCCUUAACUAUCACAGCACACAUGGCACUGCUGAAAUCAUAAGGUACAAGGCACAAGAUUUCACAAGCAGGGUGAGCAUUGAAUUUUUCAGCAAUUGUAUUGUCAGAUGCCUUUCAAGUAGAAUUUAGUUAAGUCUCACUAAAGGCACCAUAAAAGCACAGUGUAUGGGUUGACUCCUGCUCUCUGAACACUUGUACCCAGACACACAGAUGCUGAGAAGCACUGAAAUAAACCUGUUGGGAGAUGGCCUUGUAAAUGGCUUUGGUUGGAGAGAAGUAUGUGAAUUUCCUGAGCGCUAGAUUUAGUUUAUGUCUCAACCUUGAAAAUCCUGCCUGUUUUUGCAUGUAGGUCACUACACAUAUUUCUGGGUAUUAUUACAGGACAGGUAGAACUCAUCAGCUAUGUCUUCGUUUUAAUAAUAUCACUGAAGAAAGCUUAAACAUUAUGUUUUUACACAAACAAGUUGGAUAUUAAAACUUAGCAUUUACUGUUCUUUGACGGAUCCUAUCUCUGUAAAAAAAAAAAUAAAAAUAGCCUUCUUCAAAGACCACAUUUGACUACUCAACUUUAUUUUAUUAAAGAAAAAUCAUUAAAACAACCACUAUGAAUUUUUUAAUUACUAUGUGUUAUUUUAGUUUAGUUAAAAUGGGACAGGUUCUCCUACCCUUAGUUAAUGAUUGUCAUUGGUUAACACUGAAUGAACGACCCUAGAGUGUGUUAAUUACUUUAAAGGGAGAACUCAGAACAUGUCAGAUACCUAAAUGGGAAAAUAGUGAAAAUGGUUUGAGCUCUGUAGUUAAUUUGAAUGUUCAGGAAGAGUUGUAUUCUCACACUUGUAGCACCAACACCGUGUACCCUCUUUCUUCCUUUUCUUUAUCUCGUUAAAUGUGGGAGAGAUGUAGAGGUGUUAUGUCAGAUACGCUAUCUCAGAAGCAUUGUGAAGUGUUAGAGAAAACCAGUGUCUUGUGGGAAGAUAAUGAAGUGAUAGUUUGUUGCUACAGGUUUUGCAAGUACUGCCAGAAGGAAGAGGUAUGAGGAAGAUGUUAAUUUGAGUCUGAACCAGAUUUUCUGUUCCAGUUAAAUUUUCCUUAUCCUUUGACCUAUAUCCAUAUUCAUUUAUAAGGUUUAGAUAGGAGGCAGGGGUCUAUCCUAAGAGGUAGCUUAUGCAUCAGGAUGGUUUUCCAUUAAUAAAGAGAAUAUGGACAUUUUUGAGUAGGAUUUUUGGACUAGUCAUUAUAUUGCUUCACCUAAUAUGUUAGAAAUAAUGCUUUUGUAUCCUGAAAGAUGGACAAUUUCUAAUCUAUUUAAUUCUGUGCAGUUGUAUAAAUUCUAGGAAAGGGAACCCUCCUUUCCAUCUUUUACUUUCUUGGCCUAUUUAUUUCUUUAGGGAAGAAAGCAUAUAUAUUAAGUCUAGCUGCUUCCCCUUGCUAUUGCUGUUGAAAACUUCACCAUGGGUUGCACAAAAUACAACCAGUAAUCUUGGUUAUUUAGGUAAAAGAUAGGAUCACAUUUUAGAAGUCCAUUUUGUAAAGCCGUUUCACUCUGAAGUUAACUAAAGGGGUGUGCGUGUGUGGAGAAAAUGUGUUUGUGUGUUGCGGGGAGAGAGAGAUUGUGUGUGUAUAGAGAGGGACAGAGACAGACAGACACUCCUAGAUUUACCGAUAUUUCUGCUUUAUAAGUUGUUCCAGAAACAAAAGUAAAUAACAAAAGCAUAAUGCUGCAUAAAACUGCAUGAAGAAUUGCUAGAGCAGACUAAACUUUGCUUUCUGUCAUUUCCAUCCAUAGACUGGUAAGCACUAAGGGCCUACUGGCAUAUUAGACAAUUCACAAAUUCUUCCUAUUAAUAAAUUUAUCCAGUCAGUCUUAGCAUUAGCAAUUUCUGACUAAAAGAGUUUGUAGGAAGGGCAAUAUUUCUAAUCACUCAGAGAUGAGACCUAGAUUUUGCUUUGCCUUUGUGGCCUCAUGCCCCAGAGAUUGGGUGCCUUGGUGCCAAGCUUUCUUUUCCCAGCUCAUUCAUAUGUUUCUCCUCCCCUCUCACACUCUCCUAUUAGGAUUUGAUGUCCCACACACCAGGCUAGGAGCUUCUGACCUUCAGUGGUUGUCCUUUACUACAAACAACUAAAGACCUUGGAUUUAAUUAAUAAUAUUUAUACUUUUUAAUUUGGUUUCAAGCUGUGAUAUUUUUGCUUUCUUUAUAUAUUGACAUUAAUAGGUCAAAUAAGUUAGUGCUCUGUCCUAAAUAUUUUAUCUUAAUUGUAAGGAAAAGACAGAUUUAGGUAUUAUCAAAAGGUGGAGAAUAAAUUUACUUCUGAAAAAAAAUUGAGAAUGUUUUAGAACUUAUGUAAAUAACUGGAGGAGAUUUUUGUCCACCUAGUUUCCAAGAAGAUAUAACCAUUCCCAGUGAAAGGUUUGUCUGGUGAAUGGUAUUUUAUGCCUAAUAUUGAAGUAUGCAAGAGUGCCUUGGGGAACUAGAGGAUAAAGAGGUUGUGAGAAGAAGGGUUAACUCCCAUGCUUAUUCCUUUUAAAAUAUUAUACUUCCUUUCUUGUUCCUUUAAUCUAAAUUAUAAUCACUUCCUCUUUAGUUACUUUCCUAUUGCUGACGAGCAUAGUUGUAACCAUCAACACCCUUCGCGCCCCCACCGCCCAUCCCAUAUGCUUUUGGGGUUGGGAUCUUCUGAGACUACACUUCGUCAGAUAAGCUCUGUUGUGCCCUGUUAUCCUCUUGUCUCAUCAUCCUCUGCAUUUCCUUCAUAACAUAUGACACUACUUGACUCGUGAACUUUAUUUUAUCCUUAGCGUAUUAUUUGUCUUCACCUAGAAUGUAAAUUCUCUGAGGAUAGACUUUUACUGUCUUGUUUACUGUGAAACAGUUACCUUCCAGCCUAGUUUCUGGCACAUGGGAAGAUUCCACAGGUAUUUACUAAGUUGAAUGUAUGCUACGCCUGUGCAGCCUCUGCUUUCUCUAGAUUUUGUUUACUACCUUCUUCUCUUCCUCAGUAGAAAUAUUGAGAAAACAUUACAUGAAAAUUGCCGAGAACAAAUCUAAUGGGGCAGUGUAAGGACCUAUGUUUUUGAACUGUAAGUGCCAUCCUGCUUUUAAUCUUGUUCUGAUCACCUAACUGGGCAAAUAUACCCAUCAGAGCAGUGACAGUGUGAAGGUGAGAGUAGUAAAAAUAAUAGCUAAAUGGGGUACUUACUGGCUAGUGUGUCAGGUGUUGUGGUUACUUCAGGGGUAUUUGUUUAACCUUCACAUAACCUGUCAAAUGUAUAUUUCCCACAUUUACAUUGAGGGUACUGAGGCACAGAGUUUAACCAGCAUGCCUUAAGGUCAGAUAGUUAGUAAAGGCAUUUCCACAAUUUGAGCCUAGAAAAUGUGACUCGAUCCCUGGUGUCCACAGUGGUAGACAGGAGGUUUCUUUUUGUCGGAAAAGUAAAGUGCAGUCAUAAGAAGAAACUUGGUGCUGGUGCCAUGCAGGGAGCUCUUCUCUGGGCUCUUCUUCCCUUUUGUUCUCUUAGAAAAAACAAAAACGUUUUGCUUGCUUUUUUUCUCAUUAGAAGUAGAACUAUGGGGCUGAUUUUACAUGAUCCAAUUUCUGAAUUCAUUCAAUUUAACAGCUUAAGAUUGAGAAGUUAGAAAAUCUUUCAGAGAGAAUAGAACGUUGGAGAUGAACUUUGAGAAGUGACUAGUAGGAUCUGGUCCGAUGGAUAUUUAUUCAUUUAUUCAACAGUAUUUACUCUCUUAUUCUUUGUCAGGCCAUGAAAAUAGAAGAUUUUUUUAAUGUUUCAGAGAGAGAAAUGGGUUGGGAUAGGUUUCCUUGACCAAGGCUAGUUGCCCAAAUAAAUAAAGGUCAGAAAACACUAGAUGUCUUUAGAGAAUGAAAAGAUAUGAAGAAGGUUAGAAAGACAGAUGUGGGUAGCUCAGGAGAAGUGUUGAGAACCUAUAGGUGUAUUUAUAUUUCAGUAAGCAUUAUGGAACCACAGACAUUACCAUGUUUAAUUAACCAAAUGGACAGUAGUAAGCUUUAUAAAGUAAUAUAAUGUGAAAUAUAAAAUGGAUUGGGCCAAAAGAAUAGAAUUUUAUUAAUAGCUAUGCUUCUUAAUUGUAUGAACUUGAAUAAGUCAUUUUAAUAUUUUCAUAAGCAAUUAUUUAUUAAAGGAUAUAUCCUCAUGUUUUAAUUUUUUAAAGCUUGCAUAGGGCUCUAAACCAAAGAAUCUCUGUUUCUUCAUGCAAAGCAAGCUUAUAUUUAUAUAUUUGCGCAAAAUAGAGGGAUCGUGCUAUCUAUACUGCUACUUGCUGAUUUCAGUAUCCUUUGUAUAUUUUCUGCAUCAGUGAGUUUACAUAUUUAAUGCCUCUAUGUUAUUCCAUUUCUAGGUUACCAUAAUUUAUAAAACCAGUUCCUUAUUAAUGGAUAUUUAGGUUAUUUAUAGUUUUUGACUAAUACAGUCAACCUCUUGCUGCAUACAUUUGCCUGGAGGGUAUGUCAGUAGGAUAAAUUCCUAGCAGUAGAAUUGCUGAAUCAAAGGGUAUAUGCGUUUGUAAUUUUGAUAGUCGAUGCCAGAUUGCUUUUCAAAAACUUGUGCUUCUAUAAUUAAGUUAAUCAAAAUCAAAAUGCAUAUUUCUCCAUAUCCUUAUCAACUCUAGGUAUUAUCCCCCCUUUUUUAUUUUGCAAAUUUGAUGAGAAUUACAUCUAAUUUUUUUAGUUGACAUUUCUUUAAUUAUGAGUGAGGUUGCACAUUAUUUUUAUGUUGUAUGUACACAUACACAUAUUGAUACACAGUAACAUUUCAUUUUGCUGUGUACUACCCAUUGCUCUCCUUUAUUCAUUCCUUUCAUUCUUCCAGCUUUAUUUUUCUCAUAUGCUUUUUAAAAAGAGGACUGCUACACGUCUUACCUACUAGAUGGUUGGGAUGAUCAAAUAAGGUGGUAUUUGUGUUUGUAAACCUUUUAUUUCUUUAUGACUCACCUAAGUCACAGUUAGGUGCCGAAAUACUGUGUAUUUGUUUAUGUACUGUGGCCUGUUGGAAGGCCUUAAACCAUUGUAAUAUCUCAGAAUCCCCCCCCAACCAAUUUUUCAUCCUUUCAAGAACGGUAUCACUCCCAUUGAGAAUGUAUGGUACAUAUGAAAGUUUUUGUAAAGUGCAAAGUGCUAUUUAAAUAGUCCAUAUUAUACUAAAAAGCAAAAAAUUAGUUUCUCAAAUAUGAGGAAGGGAAUAAUAGAUCAUUCGGAUGUAUAUUUAUAAUUACGUAAGUUGACUGCUUUGAUCACUUACAUUCAGUUAUCACAUUUAAAUAUGUUGUGACCUCGAAUAUUUGGUAAAACCUUAGAGCUGUAUAAUACUACCUGAGCAGAAUCUUCCUACUAUAUUAAAAAUAACUGGCUAUAGUCACCUUUAGCUUGAUUUUAUAGGAUUUAAAACCUUAGAAGUUUGGAGUUCCUGUCGUGGCGCAGUGGAAAUGAAUCCAACUAGGAACCAUGAGGUUACGGGUUUGAUCCCUGGCCUCACUCAGUGGGUUCAGGAUCUGGCGUUGCCGUGAACUGGUGUAGGUCGCAGAUGCGGCUCGGAUCUGUCAUUGCUGUGGCUCUGGCGAAGGCUGGCAGCAACAGCUCCGAUUAGACCCCUAGCCUGGGAACCUCCAUAUGCCGCAGGUGUGGCCCUAAAAGGACAAAAAGACAAAAAAAUAAAAAUAAAAAAAUCUUAGAAGUUUAAAAUGUAUAUUUACAGUUAUGGCAUAAAAACAUUUCUUUGCUAAGGAAGUCUUUUCAAAAAUGUACUUAUAGGAGUUCCCGUCAUGGCUCAGCGGUUAACGAAUCCGACUAGGAACCAUGAGGUUGCAGGUUUGAUCCCUGGCCUUGCUCAGUGGUUUAAGAAUCUGGUGUUGCUGUGAGCUGUGGUGUGGGUCGCAGACACGGCUUGGAUCCCUUGCUGCUGUGGCUCUGGCAUAGGGCAGCAGCUACAGCUCUGAUUAGACCCCUGGCCUGGGAACAUCCAUAUGCCACCAGUGCGGCCCUACAAAAGACCAAAAAAAAAAAAAAAAAAAAAA